GAAAUGCGAUAAGUAGUGUGAAUUGCAGAACUUUGUGAACCAUCGAAUCUUUGAACGCAAAUUGCGCCUUCUUUCGGAAGGCAUGUCUGUUUGAGGGCACCAUUUAACAAAUAAUGUGCGCGUCGUUUUUACGAGCGACGUGUGCACGUUGAUGAGCUUUUCCGAAAAAACCAAGUUUUUUUGGUGGCGCAUAAUGAACAGCGUGGGCUUUUUCUUCGAUUCUCGUGUAGUAAAUCUUCAACGCUUGGGUUGAGAAAAAGUGCGUGCCGCGCAAUGGGUGUGGCGAAUUUUACCCCUGCCCCAAUGCCACUCUUUCCCUGCGAAAGAACAUCUUUUAUUCAGGGCCUCAAAUCAGACAAGAGUACCCGCUGAACUUAA
rnacentral:misc_RNA from 1 species